GCGAAAGGCAAGACAAAGAAUAAGACAAGACAAGACAAACCGGAACGAAAAGCCAAAAGGUACCAGAGCGAUAACUCGUUGGUCUUCUCUUCCUUCUAUCCUUUUUCUCCCUCCUUUCUCUUUUUCGU
rnacentral:ribozyme from 11 species